rfam:Columba livia unplaced genomic scaffold scaffold2438, whole genome shotgun sequence.
AUAUGCAGCCACACCGCCCUGAGAAUACCCCAUCUCAUCUUAUCUGGGAAGCUAAGCAGGGUCGGCCCCGGUCAGUACUUGGAUGGGAGACCUUGUGGCCAGGAAGCCAAUGGGACCUGGGGGGG